rnacentral:rRNA from 1 species
UACAGGGGGUGCAAACGUUGCUCGGAAUCAUUGGGCGUAAAGCGCACGUAGGCGGUUCGUUAUGUCGGAUGUGAAAGCCCUUGGCUUAACCGAGGAAGUGCAUCCGAAACUGGCGAGCUAGAGUACUAAAGAGGAUCGCGGAAUUCCCGGUGUAGAGGUGAAAUUCGUAGAUAUCGGGAGGAACACCGGUGGCGAAGGCGGCGAUCUGGGUAGAUACUGACGCUGAGGUGCGAAAGCGUAGGGAGCAAACAGG